UGGCUCAGUGGAUAGAGCUUCAGUCUGUGGACUGAAGGGUCCUGGGUUCGCUUCCCAG
rfam:Myotis lucifugus cont2.71295, whole genome shotgun sequence.